AAGAAUUUACACGUCGGGUUUUGUGAAAAACCAUGGGAAUAAAUUACUUAAGAAAAUAGAAAAGCGUCAUACUCUACGAAAUUCAUGCAAAUGACACUACCCCUCGGUUGGGAAAAGUAACCGUUGGAAAAUAAAUAAAAAAAUUUAAAAUAUUUAACAGAAAAAUAAAGGCAUUUGAAAAUGCUAUUUUCGCAAUUCAAAAUAAAUAGAAAAGGGCAAAAGGGAAAGACGUCAACUAAGAAAUCUUAACGCUUGAUCCCUAAGGCAAUUGGAA
rnacentral:lncRNA from 1 species